CUAGGGUGGGAGGAGACAUCAUUCUCAGAAGUUCUCAGAAGUAGACUGUUCCGUGCACAGACAGGACCGCCUGGCAGUAAACUCACGUGUGCUGUCCGUGUAUGACCCAAAGCUGCUGUGUGCGGCAGGUGCCCUUAUGCAGAUGGGAAAACUGUUCCUCAGACUGAGAGAGGAAAGACACCACAUUGUAGACCAGGUACACACUCUCAGUCUCAGCUUCUCCCACCCUUUCAUGUUGAUGAGGCUGGCUGCUGUGCUGUGAGCCACCUCAGGAGAAGCCUCCAGCAAACAGCCAGUGGGGACCGGCGGCCCUCAGGUGAACGGCCUUGGGGAACCCCCAACAACCCCUGCCAAGCCACUGAGUGAGCUUGUAAGCAAGUUCUGCCCCAGUUAAGCCUUGAGAUGACUGCAGUCUCAGCUGACACCUGACAGUCUUGAGAGAGACCCUGCACUGCAGAGCCCAGUUAAGGCCAUGCCAAGAUUCCUGGCCCACAGAAACCAGGAGAUAACCAUCUACUAUUUAACCCACUAAGCUCAUAAGACCGCACAGGCUGGGUGAGUGUGCUGAAGUCCUGAGGAGCAGGGUGGGGUCUACACCUGCAAACAGCUGUAACUUUCCCACGCAACCCACGGCUGCUAUUCUGGGUUCCAGCCCAGAGCUUUGAGCAGCCCCUCUGUAUCUGAGUCCCCUGAAAACUUGGGAUUCAAGGAUCAUGGUCAUGAGAUGAGGUAGAGCGUGCCACCCUGGAAGAACAGAAUAAAGUUUGCUAGAACCUGCUGCUGAAAUUCAGACAAGCCACUUUAUUCCAGACUUCAGUUUCCUGGUGUUCAAAACGAAAAGGCUGGGUUUCUAAGAUCCUGUCGUGCCUUAAGAGUCCCUGAAUCUUUAAGAUAAUUAGACAGAAAACAAGGGCCUCAAGGGGGGAUAUAACUGGUAUUUUUGUCCCCGCCCAGAUCUCAUGUUGAAUUAUAAUCCCCAGUAUUGAAGGCAGGGUCUGGUGGAGGUGACUGGACCCUGGGGUGGAUUUCUCGUGAAUGGUUUAGCAGCACCUUGUGCUGUCCUCACGAGGGUGAGUUCGCACAGACCUGGCUGUUUUGGGUGGGUGGCACCUCCCGCGCCCUCUUUCUUCUUCACCUUCCGCCCUGAUUGUAAGCUGCCGGAGGCCUCCCUGGAAGCUGUACAGUUGCCAGCACCAUGGUGCCUAUAAAGCCUGCAGAACCAUGAGCCAGUUACACCUCUUUUCUUUAUAAAUUACCCAGUCUCAAGUGUUUCUUUACAGCAAGGCAAGAAUGGCCUAAGACAAGGAUGGAACAAUUGUUACCUAUGCUGACGUCUACUUGUCUAUAUAGUUUCCAGCGACUGACCCUUCAAUAUUGAAAUUGAAGGUGCCCAGGUCACCAUCAGGGUGAUAAUGGCCAGACACCAAGUGGUUCAUGUCCCAGGUCUGAGGCUAUGGCAGGAGAUGUAGCUGGAACCUUUCACAGAGCAGUCCCCGUGACAAGGGUGUUCAUCAUGGCAAUAGGAGUUCUUAGCAAGAUCUCAGCAGAGUCACCAGGUACAUUUCCUGAAGGCGGAAGCUCCGAGAGCAGGCAUCUUGGUUCCCAGGAUGCCCACAAUCCCCGGAAAGCCCUGGAAGAACCCUGGGGGUCCUAGCGCACCCUCGAAUGCUCAGGGCCUUUGGUUCUUUAUGUGUUUACUUAUUUUUCUUUCAAUGGUUUUAGCUCACUUUUCUAUUCUUAACACAGUGAACUGGCAUGAGGCACAAGUUAGGAGAACAUUUGUUCUGGGAAGGGGUUGAAGCCCUUUCCCUCCCCCCACCCUGACUGAACCAGACCAUCUCCCUCCUUGUGACACCUUCCCCCGUAACAAGCCACCUGCUGCACCCCAAGAUGAAGAAGUCACACUAAAGUUGGCCUGAAAAGGAAGGCUGAGCACCUUUUUAAAAAGCAAUUGAACUGGAAAGUUCGGAAGAGACCGAGGCCACAAUUUGCCACCCUUUCCAGCACGCAUGGCAGCGUCACCCCAGCCCACAGCCCCGGGGCCCCGGUCUCCACACAUGACCUUGCUACACAAAAACCCGGAUCAGGACCCGGUCUUGGGAGCCCGGUCACGCCACCCGUGCCCAUCAGGGAUCUUUCACUUCAGCCCUGGGGCGUCCUCGGCCUGGUCUCUUCCUCUUUCGCUGUCCUGCUUGCUUUUCCCUCAUAAUCCAUUCAGUCCCCCAGGACGUUCCCCCAGGAAACUAAUGAACCAC